rnacentral:rRNA from 1 species
GGGGUGCUCGAGUGGCGAACGGGUGAGUAACGCGUGAGUAACCUGCCCUUGACUUUGGGAUAACUUCAGGAAACUGGGGCUAAUACCGGAUAGGAGCUCCUGCUGCAUGGUGGGGGUUGGAAAGUUUCGGCGGUUGGGGAUGGACUCGCGGCUUAUCAGCUUGUUGGUGGGGUAGUGGCUUACCAAGGCUUUGACGGGUAGCCGGCCUUAGAGGGUGACCGGCCACAUUGGGACUGAGAUACGGCCCAG